rnacentral:rRNA from 1 species
GCUUACGGUCACGACUACCCUGAGAGCCGAUCUCGUCUGAUCUCGGAAGCAUAAGCAGGGUUUGGUGCCUGGUAGUAUCUUGGAUGGAGAGGACCACCUGGGAAUACCAGGUGCUGUAAGCU